rnacentral:lncRNA from 1 species
AUUUGGUUGAAUAUUUUAUUCAUCAUGUCAUUUGAUAAGUUAGACUCAUUUAUUAUCCGCUUCAAUAGAAAAAAUUACUCGGCUUGGGAAUUCCAAUUCCAAUUAUUUGCGAAAGGAAAAGAGUUGUGGGGACAUCUUGAUGGUAGUGAUCUCGCUCCUAAAGAUGUUGAGGCUUUGUCGAAGUGGAAAAUUAAGGAUGCUCAAGUUAUGACUUGGAUCCUUAGUUCAGUUGAACCGCACUUUAUUCUCAAUCUGAGAACAAGUUAUGACUUGGAUCCUUAGUUCGGUCGAACCGCACCUUAUUCUCAAUCUGAGACCUUAUAAAACUGCUGCUGCUAUGUGGGAUUACAUUAGUAAGGUUUACAAACAAGACAACACGGCUCGACGAUUUCAAUUGGAGUAUGAGAUGGCUAAUUUUACACAAGAAAGUAUUUCGAUUGAAGAAGACUUUUCAGGUUUUCAAAAUCUUUGGAUUGAAUAUUCAGAUAUAGUUUAUGCUAAUGAUCCCGCGGCAGCCCUAUCUGCUGUUCAAACAGUGCAUGAGACAAGUAAGAGGGAUCAAUUCUUGAUGAAGCUACGUCUCGAAUUUGAGACUGCACGGUCCAAUCUGAUGAAUCGUCAACUUGUACCAUCUCUAGAUACUUGUUUGGGAGAACUUCUUCGUGAGGAGCAACGUCUAGUUACUCAGGCUGCCAUGGAGCAUAGGGAUACUAUCAAUGCUCCUGUGGCUUAUGCAGCACAAGGAAGGAAUAAGGGUCGUGACAUGCGUGCUGUCCAGUGCUAUAAUUGUAAAGCCUUUGGUCACAUUUCUCGGGAUUGUCCUAAGAAAUACUGUAACUAUUGCAAGAAACAAGGUCAUCACAUCUCUGUUUGUCCCAUUUGGCCAAAAAAGAGGCAUACUGCUGCCUAUCAUGCCUCCACUAGUGCCUCUAGCUUUGCAGCAUUGCCUACUUCUUCGGACAUUGUUCCAAAUCUUGCUUCUGCAUCCACCUUCACCCCUGAAACGGUACAACAGAUGAUCAAUCCUACUUUUGGACUAUCAGGUACUCAUAAAACUUCGUCCAAACCAUAGUUCUUCGACUCUGGAGCUUCUAAUCAUAUGACCAACACUGUUAUUCCUCUUUCCAAUGUGAAAGAAUACGAUGGGAAUCUAAAAAUUCAUACUGCUAAUGGUAGUUCACUGCCUAUCAAAGCUAUUGGUGAUCUUUCAGAUUCCUUAACUAAUGUUUUUGUGUCUCCCAAUCUUUCUACAAAUUUAAUUUCGGUUGGUCAAUUAGUUGAUAGUAAUUAUAAUGUUCAUUUCUCUCGUUCUGGUUGUGUUGUGCAGGAUCCGUUGUCGGGGAAGAUGAUCGCGAAGGGGCCUAAAGUGGGACGACUCUUUCCCUUGCAUAGUUCUCCUUUACUUUCAUUUGCAUGUAAUACCAUUAGUACGGAUAAUAAAUUGUGGCAAAACGUUUAGGCCACCCAAACUCAGAUGUAUUUCGCACUUUAUUUAAUUCUAAUUUAUUGGGUAAUAAAACAUGUUCAUCUGAACUUUCUGUUGAUUGCACUGCAUGCAAACUUGGCAAAAGUAAAACUCUACCUUUUCCCUCUCAUGGAUCUCGUGCAUCACAAUGUUUUGAUAUUAUUCAUAGUGAUGUUGGGGGAUUUCACCUAUUAUUUCUCAUGCACGUUAUAAGUACUUUGUUACAUUUAUUGAUGACUUCAGUCGUUUUACUUGGGUUUAUUUUUAAGAGCCAAAUCAGAAGUCUUUUCAGUCUUUAAGCGUUUCUUUGCUCUUGUUGAGACUCAAUUUUCUCGCCUCAUUAAGAUCUUGCGAUUUGAUUGGGAGGGGGGGGGAGAAUAUAUGUCCAAUGAGCUUCAGAACUUUCUCCAACGUAAGGGUAUCAUCUCUCAGCAUUCUUGUCCUUCGACACCACAGCAAAACGUUGUUGUUGAAAGAAAGAAUCGUCACCUCCUGGAUAUGGUAAGAACACUCUUACUUGAAUCAUCGGUACCUUCUCAAUUCUGGUGUGAAGCACUUUCCACUUCAAUUCAUUUAAUUAAUCGUUUACCAUCUCCUAUUUUAAAUCACGUUUCUCCAUUCUUUAAACUGUUUGCAUAUUCACCUUCCUAUUCUGAUCUGCGUACAUUUGGUUGUGUUUGUUUUGUACAUCUUCCUGCUCAUGAACGACAUAAACUUACUGCUCGGUCUGUUAAAUGUGUUUUCCUUGGUUAUACUGUCUCUCAAAAAGGUUAUAUUUGCUAUGAUUCUCAUACUCAACCUAUCUGCAUUUCUAGGAAUGUGGUUUUCUUUGAAAGCCAAUAUUUCCGUCUCAUUCUGAGCUACCCCCUACAUCUUCAUCUAUCCUGUCUAACUUCUCUGAUUCCCCAGACGUUAUAGCACGAUUUAAGCCAGGACUUGUGUAUGAACGACGUAAUCGUGGGUUUGAUCCUCCUGCUGAUAUGCCCCUUCCUGAUCUCGAUCUGGCACCUGAUCCUCCUAUGGUUCCCAAAUGUCUUCGUCGGUCUGCUCGUCAUUCUCGCCUGGCAAAUAUUUGGGAGAAUGAUUUGUUGCUAAUUUUCAGGGAUUGUAUCUUUAAUUUAUU